rnacentral:lncRNA from 1 species
GGCCUCUCCUCUGAGUGGUCAGCCCCCAGUGACCCCCUGGACAUCCUGGUCUCAGGACAGCUCCCUGGCACACCCUCCCUCUCAGUGCAGCCUG